UAUUGAGGUCAUAAAUUGUUGCUCCUCACUCCAUAACGAGUCGGAAAAGCACGGAGAGCAGACAGCUGGCAGGAACGAGUAAAGGACACCGACGAUGCUUCCCGAACACACUUGUUCAUUGUUACUGCUCACUGAGUCGG
ensembl:ncRNA F58H1.17 ncRNA